rnacentral:rRNA from 1 species
CUACGGGCUGCUCCAGGCGAGAAAACUUUGCAAUGUGCGAAAGCACGACAAGGUUAAUCCGAGUGGUUUCUGCUAAAGGAACCUUUUGACAGUCCUAGAAACACUGUUGAAUAAGGGGUGGGCAAGUUCUGGUGUCAGCCGCCGCGGUAAAACCAGCACCUCAAGUGGUCAGGAUGAUUAUUGGGCCUAAAGCAUCCGUAGCCGGCUCUGUUAGUUUUCGGUUAAAUCUGUACGCUCAACGUACAGGCUGCCGGGAAUACUGCAGAGCUAGGGUGUGGGAGAGGUAGACGGUACUCGGUAGGAAGGGGUAAAAUCCUUUGAUCUAUUGAUGACCACCUGUGGCGAAGGCGGUCUACCAGAACACGUCCGACGGUGAGGGAUGAAAGCUGGGGGAGCAAACCGGAUUAGAUACCCGUGUAGUC